rnacentral:rRNA from 1 species
UACGUAGGGACCAAGCGUUGUUCGGAUUUCCUGGGCGUAAAGGGCGCGUAGGCGGCGCGGUAAGUCACUUGUGAAAUCUCUGAGCUUAACUCAGAACGGCCAAGUGAUACUGCAGUGCUAGAGUGUGGAAGGGGCAAUCGGAAUUCUUGGUGUAGCGGUGAAAUGCGUAGAUAUCAAGAGGAACACCUGAGGUGAAGACGGGUUGCUGGGCCAACACUGACGCUGAGGCGCGAAAGCCAGGGGAGCAAACGGG